GCGCCCGUAGCUCAGCUGGAUAGAGUACUUGACUACGAAUCAAGGGGUCAGGAGUUCGAAUCUCUUCGGGCGCACCA
rnacentral:tRNA from 1 species